UAAGGGGGUAUUCUGGUCUAGAAAUUAAAAAAAUCGAUUUUUUUUUCUUUUCAUAUUUUCAUAGUAUAACUAUUUUAGAAUAUGUCUACGAGAGGAUUUUCCCAAAUUCAAAUUAUUUUCGGAGAAAUAAGUAUUUUGCUGAGCAGCCAUCCAAAUCGGUUGGGCUGCAACUAAUAGAACAAAAGACAUAAUGGGGUACUUUAAACGCGUUUUUCUCAGAACUGUCUUUUUGAAUCUGAUACCCACGAUUUCUCAGGUUCUGCCGAACCGAUUUACUUGAAAUUUUAAGAGAUUCUUCUUCAAGGACUUGUCUACGUCCGGAACUACGGCCAUCCCCAAAUUUUCAUUUUUAAUAUUUUUAACAAAUCGAAGAAUGUUCAAAAAAAUGUUUUUGAUUUCAGAUUUCUAGGAGAGUUAAAAUCGUGGGUAUGGUCACGCACCAAAUUUUUGAGACGCACCACUCCAUGAACUGAUAACUAACGGAAUUUUUAUUUUUUUUUUUACUUUUUUAUUUUUUUUGUAUGCUUCUAACGUGAAUAAAUAAUGUAUAAAAAAAUGUAUGGUAAAA